GCAUAACGCGAAGAACCUUACCUAGGCUUGACAUGCAUCUCUAAGCGCGUGAAAGCGCGUGACCCUUCGGGGGAUUUGCACAGGUGCUGCAUGGCCGUCGUCAGCUCGUGUCGUGAGAUGUUGGGUUAAGUCCCGCAACGAGCGCAACCCUUGUGAACAGUUGCCAGCACUUAAGGUGGGAACUCUGUUCAGACUGCCCAGAUCAACUGGGAGGAAGGUGGGGACGACGUCAGGUCAGUAUGGCCCUUACGCCUAGGGCUGCACACGUACUACAAUGCCCAGCACAAUGAGAACCGAGACCGCGAGGUGGAGGAAAUCUAAAAAACUGGGCCCAGUUCGGAUUGGAGGCUGCAACUCGCCUCCAUGAAGUUGGAAUCGCUAGUAAUGGCGCAUCAGCUACGGCGCCGUGAAUACGUUCCCGGGUCUUGUACACACCG
rnacentral:rRNA from 1 species